rnacentral:misc_RNA from 1 species
AACAAGGAGGAGCUGAAGCGUCUGUUGAAGGAGUACCUCAACAGCCGGAAGUAAACCAAACCGAAACUAGACCGAACCGGAGGUUAUUAUUAAUUACCCUACACGACGAGAAUCGCAUGCCCAAGGACAAUCCUUUAUUUUUCUGAUUUCUAACAUUUAAAACAUUUCUGUUUUGAUAGAAAAAAUUUUGACAGAAUGAAUAUAUUUACCGUGCCAUUUUAAUAAAUUAAUUUUUCUUGC